UUAUAUGCCCACAUUAAAUUCUUCCCAAUUUUGAGGCUAAUCAAAAUUUUGUUUGUACCUCCUCAUUUGCUUUUCAGAGGAUCUUCUAGAAGAUUUGCACUAUCAGCUUGGUAUUCAGUUCUCUAGCUUGAAAUGAUUUCAGUGCCUAAUGAAGGAGCUGGACUUGGAGAUCUCUCUCACCUCUGAAGUUGUGUAAGUGAAGUAUACUGACCCAGUGUGACCACGCUGCUAUUCGAAGACUUACUCAAAGUUUUCAAACAGACUAACCAUGUGGGACUGUGAUUUAGCAAGGAAAACAGCCAGAAUAAACAUGUCAGUGUCUCCGUUUUAUGGUGGCUUCAUGUGCAGCAUUGUGACCUAUACCUCGGAGUUUUUCUUAUACCAGAUGAAGCUUGUUCUAUAGUCUUCACAAGGACAUAACACUUGUCAUAAGUAAAUGUUUCUAUUCUCUUGAUAUCAUUCCGAUUAUAUCAAAACGUGCUUUGAAACAACAAGCAGUAGAAUCACUUGGUAUAAUCUUGUCCUCAGUUGACAUGUUUACUUAUUUUUAUCCAGCCUAUGUUUGAAGUCCAACAUGAGCUCAUUUCUCAUGCUGGGGUGGAAUGUAUGAAGGGAUCCAAUUCUUUUGCAUCUUUAGAGAUUAUCUCAUGAAGCAAGGUUCAAUUUAGAACUCUGAGAUCUAACACUGAUUACUUAACUUUACGAGGAAAUACACAAAAAAAUCUGAAUGUCCAGACAAAAGCUGGAAAAAAAAACUUAUCUGUAUCUGCUUCAUCCUUUAUAAAAUGGAAACCUACAAGUGUUUUCCUAAUAAAAUUGUAGUGAACCUGCA